CUAUUAUAUCCCUGCAAAAAAUUGUGCGACUAAUCUCUAAAGAGAGUAUUCCGGGACUAGUCUCGAUGUGGAACAAUUGAGUAUUAAUUAGUCGCAACUAGUCUCAAACGGGUAUAAUUGGAGAUCAAUUAGUCUCAAUUAAUCCCUAUCGGGUACUAUUGGGAAAAAAGUUAGAAUUUUGGCAAAAAUACAUUCAUAAAUUUCAAAGCAAAGUUACUGAAUUUCCUUCAAUUCAAUUAUCAUAACCUAUUACAUUUAAAAAAAACCAUAAGUAAUGAAUUUCGUACAUGUAGGACAAUAAUAAAAAUGGUCAAAUAGUUAUCAACAAGUUUGACUAUUGUGAAUGGUAUUUACAUGGCAAUUGUCAAAAUCAAUUGUUUGACAGCAGCCACUUGAAAUAACGAAGCGCAAAAUAUUUAGUUUUUUGGCUUUGUUAUAUAUAUUAUGGAAUAAAGAAAACGCAUUGAAGAAUAAUAACUAAGGGAUCUAAAGUCAAUAGAGGUUAUUAGUGUGUUGCUGAAAUUUGAGAACCCAUGUGCUGCUGUAAUGGAUUCUACUAAUGUGCAAGUGGUUUCAUUUGACGACGAACAAAUAAUUGCUGUUGGCCGGGCUCUCAGAGCUGUAGCGGACGAAGUUUUCGAAGAACCCAAACACGAACUCGUUUUAUAGGAAUCUGCGAUGUCUGCUAUUUUAUGCAACAAUCUCAGAAAUAUAAGGCUGCUGUUAAAUAAGGACGUCAUAGCGUCAAUAAACGUGGAUGGUUCACAUGGAAAGAUAAGCUUAAAAUCUUUCCCAAAUUUUUAUGCUUCAUUGACUGGAGCCAUUGCCAAAUUACCAUUUAAGGGAUUGUCGCCGGAGGACGCGCUGCGCAAAGCCAUUGCUUUCGAAAAAGCUAAAUGCUUUAAGAAAGCUUUUGUUCACGCGUUAUAUGAAAGCAAGAAAUCAACGCGAACUUUUUGAGUGGAGUACAAAACUGCGUAAACGAUUUUUUUUAAGAUACAUUUUUUUAAAUUUUGAUGAUAAUUUCUUUCAUGAGUUUUGCAAAAAUUUUGAUUUGUCAGAUUUAUGUUAGAGAAGCUGUAUUUAAAGUGUUUAAAGUCAAUUAAAUAGAAAUACAUAUUUUAAAACGAAGGCUUCGGAUAAAAUUUAUCUUGAUUGUUAAAGGGAUUUUAGAGGUUUUAUAACGACUGGUCUCAUUCUGCUACCAUUGCGACCUACAAAGCGACUAGUCCCUUUUUAUACCCAUUUGGGUAUAAAUGGGUACAAUUAGUCUCUUCAUAGGACAUGCUCGAACAAAAGGGAACAGUUCAGUCCAUACAAAGAGAUGUAAAGUGGGAUUAGUCGCAUGUUCCUUUGCGACUAAUCCCGGACACAUCCCGGACUAGUCGCAUUUUUUGCAGGGAU